GCGUAGAUGGCGAAGAGGUUAACGCGUUCGGUUGCAGCCCGAAUAUCCCCCGGUUCAAUUCCGGGUCUACGCU
rnacentral:tRNA from 1 species